rnacentral:rRNA from 1 species
UACGAAGGGUGCAAACGUUGCUCGGAAUUACUGGGCGUAAAGCGUGCGCAGGCGGUUUUGUAAGCCAGAUGUGAAAUCCCCGGGCUUAACCUGGGAAUGGCAUUUGGGACUGCAAGGCUGGAGUGCGGCAGAGGAGACUGGAAUUCCUGGUGUAGCAGUGAAAUGCGUAGAUAUCUGGAGGAAUACCGGUGGCGAAGGCGGCAUCCUGGACCGACAUUGACGCUGAGGAGCGAAAGCUAGGGGAGCAAACGGG